GAUGAACGCUAGCGGCAGGCUUAACACAUGCAAGUCGAGGGGCAGCAUAAACAUUGCUUGCAAUGUUUGAUGGCGACCGGCGCACGGGUGCGUAACGCGUAUGUAACCUACCUCAAACAGGGGCAUAACACUGAGAAAUUGGUACUAAUUCCCCAUAACACCUGAUAGGGCAUCCUAUUAGGUUGAAAGUUCCGGCGGUUUGAGAUGGACAUGCGUUGUAUUAGCUAGUUGGUGAGGUAACGGCUCACCAAGGCGACGAUACAUAGGGGGACUGAGAGGUUAACCCCCCACACUGGUACUGAGACACGGACCAGACUCCUACGGGAGGCAGCAGUGAGGAACUAUUGGUCAAUGG
rnacentral:rRNA from 1 species